rnacentral:lncRNA from 1 species
GCUGGCCGCAGGUGAGACUGGAAAACAGACGUCUCCAGGAGUGCGCGUUCAACAGGAGAAAGAGAAACUUCAACAAAGAGGGAACAAGACAGUGGGGAUGAGCCAUUCACUUCUGUGAACAAGAGACUGCGACUUUCACACCUUCUACCCCGGCAGUACCUUCACAUCCCCAGUCGGUGACUCCCCUGGACCUGUGCAGAGCGACGCCAUGACAGGCACCGACGCACAGGCUGCCGGUCUAUGUCCUGCUGUGGAAAUCUCCUUCAGUCACGAGGAGGAGUUUUCUGUAAAAUCACGUCCUCAGGAGGAACAGAAAUGACCAGGACCCACGACUCCAUCCCGGUCUCCACUGCAGCCGCCAGGGCCCUUCCUCCUCCCUGCCCGCGCCUGUGCGACAUCAGAAGAAUAAGAGGAAAGGGUUGGCCCGGCGAGCACCUACCACAAGUCCAGCUCGGCGGUGUGGGGCUCUAAUUCCCCUGAAUCCUGAUUAAAUGUCAGCUCCGCAUUCUAAAGGACAGGGACGAAGGAAGAGACCUGUGGGCAUUUGAGCAAACUGUUUACUUUAGAAAGUGUUUCUGGUCCUGACGCCAUCCCUGCCCCGAACACCGUGGGCAGGCGGUCCCCGCCGCGCCCCUCCACCUGCACAGCGGCUGAGGACACUCGGCCCGCGAGGUCCGCGUGAAAAUGGCUGCCGUUGGCCCAUGAGGAGCGGCCCUGUCAGGUGCGGCCUUCUUGGAGGAAGUUCGUCACUGUGGCUUCGAGAGUUCAGGAGCUCAAGCCGGGCCUAGUUGCUCCGUUUCUCUUCUUGACGCCUGUCAAUCGUGAUGAUAAUGGACUAAACCUGUGAACUGUAAGCCAACCCUAACUAAGUAUCUUCCUUUAUAAGAGUUGCUAUGUCCACGGUGUCUCUUCACGACAGGAGAAACCCCAACUAAGACACCACCCAUUUGAUUUGGGGACCUUCUUGGUUAGGUUUUCUGGGAUCCAAACUGAGGGCGUGGGAAAGUUCUGAGGCAGGCGGGCCUCUUACCUGUUCCUUUAUUUUAUUUUUUGAGACAGAGCAUCACUAUGUAGCUCAGGCUGGCCUCAAGCUUGCAAUCCCCCUGCCUCAGCUUCUUGAUUGCUGUUCUUAUAGCUAUGCAGCAUCGCACCUGGACAGACUCACAGACUUCACUCUGGAAACCUCAAGGUUUCUGAACAAUCGGCAAAUGGGUUGAGGUUGGUUAAAUAGUCCAGUCCUUGUUUGUAUGUUUUUCCAAUAUUUAAUCGGCUCAGUGUCUCGGCUCAGAGAUGCUCGGAGGUAGGAAAUUGUGAGGUGAGAAAUGGCCAGUGCAGCACAUUGACAGCCGUGAGGACCGACGGCUCGAUAGAUCGAGUGGUAAUCAGCUGACUGCCAGUCCCACCAUCAGGCAGCCCUCGCACUGGAGCUGUGCAGGAGUCAACAACCCCAGAAUUCCUGGCCACUUCCAGGAUGUCCUCGUGCUCAGAGCCCCAUUAAGUAAUUAAUAUUUACUAUGAGGACCUUGGGCCACCAAGAGGAGUAAUUAUGCUCUUUACUCUGAUUCCUAAGGCAGGCGCUUACAUAAUACACUUAAUUAACAUUAAAAACCAUUAACACUUACUGAACUCUGUGUGCCGGGACUUGUGUUCCAUGCUUUAUAGGAAUUAUCUCAUUGUAGAAAUAUUCCCAUAUAAAACAGCUUUAACCAAAAAUAUUUUGGUACUUAAGCUUUAGUUGGCUGAAAAUUGUACAUAUAUGGAUGUUGGACCCUCCUGGGCCAUGUCAGUGGCUGCCCCUGCUGAGCCUGGCCGGUGCCUUGGUAGCCUUUUGUUCCUAACACAGGAACAUCCUGGCCUUUCUGUUUGGCCAUGGUGGAUUAACCCAGUCAGUAAGAUCUUUUCAAGUCAGUGCUGGGUUAAGGUUUCUGUUUUCCUGCUGAGAAUGUAAACUUGUUUCUCCAUUGUGCUCUCACUGGUGGGCUUGGGGUAUAACUUCUGUGAACCUCAGUAAAAGUUUUGGCAUUUUCAUAACACAAAUGAUCGGAGUAUGUGUUUUCUCUUAAACCUUGCAGGCCUACGCCUGGUUCGUGGUACCAUGGCAGCCCAGGUGUCAUCAUGUGGAAAACACAUUUACUAAGGAGGCUUUGAUUAAAUGGUGGCUUCCAUGUUCUCCUUUGGACUGGGUGUGUGCAUAAACACAUUAGUCCUGGCAAGUGCAUUCAGACCUCUCCUAGGAAAGACAGAACAAAUCGUGGCGCUCCUGGGCUCAGAACGAAUUACAGAUAGAAAUCCCGAGAGUUUGCUGUGGCGUUCAAGGCCCUUGGAGCCAUCUGGAAGGGGUUUUUCUGCUUCCUGUUGAUGUUUUCCACCCACACGGGGCUGCCUCCCCUGUCUGCCCAGUGCCCACAAGGAGCCCUCAGGCCCUGACAUUCCUCACUGGCUCAUUGCUUCUUUCUCCAUCUGGACUCUCUCUCCUCUCAGCACCACGUCCUGUCCCAUCCUCUCCCAUCCUCUCCCAUCCU